AUUGAACGCUGGCGGCAUGCCUUACACAUGCAAGUCGAACGGUAACAGGUCUUCGGAUGCUGACGAGUGGCGAACGGGUGAGUAAUACAUCGGAACGUGCCUAGUAGUGGGGGAUAACUACUCGAAAGAGUGGCUAAUACCGCAUGAGAUCUACGGAUGAAAGCAGGGGAUCGCAAGACCUUGUGCUACUAGAGCGGCCGAUGGCAGAUUAGGUAGUUGGUGGGAUAAAAGCGUACCAAGCCGACGAUCUGUAGCUGGUCUGAGAGGACGAUCAGCCACACUGGGACUGAGACACGGCCCAGACUCCUACGGGAGGCAGCAGUGGGGAAUUUUGGACAAUGGGCGCAAGCCUGAUCCAGCAAUGCCGCGUGCAGGAUGAAGGCCUUCGGGUUGUAAACUGCUUUUGUACGGAACGAAAAGCCCCGGGUUAAUACCCUGGGGUCAUGACGGUACCGUAAGAAUAAGCACCAGCUAACUACGUGCCAGCAGCCGCCGCAG
rnacentral:rRNA from 1 species